AGCAGACCUAUUUCCUAAACCAGAAAGCUGAAGCAGAAUCACCAGCUUGGACCUUGCAACUGGCUAGUGAAUAUUUCUCUUUGGCAUUUUGGUAUCAUCAUGACCGAGUGACGCUGGCUGUGAUUCCAGAAGUGUCUUUUGGAGAUUGGUUGGAAUGAGCUGUGCUGGCUUUGUUAGAGCAAUGCUCUGGAAGCGUUCUGUGCUGCCUGCAGGUAUUGCCUUGAUCUGAGUCAUGUCAUCCUGGCUGAU
rnacentral:lncRNA from 12 species